rnacentral:rRNA from 1 species
GCGAAACGGGUGAGUAACGCGUGAGGAAACCUGCCUCAAAGAGGGGGAACAACAGUUGGAAACGACUGCUAAUACCGCAUAAGCCCACGGCUCGGCAUCGAGCAGAGGGAAAAGGAGCAAUCCGCUUUGAGAUGGCCUCGCGUCCGAUUAGCUAGUUGGUGAGGUAAUGGCCCACCAAGGCGACGAUCGGUAGCCGGACUGAGAGGUUGAACGGCCACAUUGGGACUGAGACACGGCCCAGACUCCUACGGGAGGCAGCAGUGGGGAAUAUUGCACAAUGGGGGAAACCCUGGUGCAGCGACGCCGCGUGGAGGAAGAAGGUCUUCGGAUUGUAAACUCCUGUUGUUGAGGAAGAUAAUGACGGUACUCAACAAGGAAGUGACGGCUAACUACGUGCCAGCAGCCGCGGUAAAACGUAGGUCACAAGCGUUGUCCGGAAUUACUGGGUGUAAAGGGAGCGCAGGCGGGAAGACAAGUUGGAAGUGAAAUCCAUGGGCUCAACCCAUGAACUGCUUUCAAAACUGUUUUUCUUGAGUAGUGCAGAGGUAGGCGGAAUUCCCGGUGCAGCGGUGGAAUGCGUAGAUAUCGGGAGGAACACCAGUGGCGAAGGCGGCCUACUGGGCACCAACUGACGCUGAGGCUCGAAAGUGUGGGUAGCAAACGGGAUUAGAUACCCUGGUAGUCCACACUGUAAACGAUGAUUACUAGGUGUUGGAGGAUUGACCCCUUCAGUGCCGCAGUUAACACAAUAAGUAAUCCACCUGGGGAGUACGACCGCAAGGUUGCAACUGAAAGGAAUUGACGGA